UCUCCCUCGGGGUCACCUUGGGCUCGGGCUCCUGUCUCUCCAGAGUGCUCCCCUGGCCUGGCGGGUCGUUCCUGGGCGCUCCCAGCGCCACCCAGGGCCUUGGCUCUCCCCGACAGCCAGCCCAGAACGUACACGGGCCUCUCACCGCUGUGGCCUCUCUCACUGCGGAACACAGGCUCCGGACCCGCAGGCUCAGCGGCCAUGGCUCACGGGCCCAGCCGCUCCACGGCAUGUGGAAUCCUCCCGGACCGUGACACGAACCCGUGUCCCCCGCAUCGGCGGGCGGACCCUCAACCACUGCGCCACCAGGGAAGCCCACAAGCUGCGUUUUUAAGCCUUUGCCUGUGCCUGUGCUCAGCGCCCUUCCCAGCGCCACCUGCAAGCUCUGAGUCAACACUUCCGAGUUCAUCUAGCUCGUCACCGGCCUCGUGAAGUCUUUCCUAUCUCCAGGAAGAGGCCUGCCUGUGGAUUGGCCCGGCCGUAAUUGUCAUUGUAACCAGCGCCGGCUUAUGGGAGGAUUUAACUGCAGUGAUAUAAGUGAACAACCUACACAACUGUACGUGCUGGCCCUACCUGCUGCCAGCAGCAUCGUGGUCUGAAAUGCUACUGUUUAAGCAACUUACUGUCUGCACGUCUCCAAAGCCAUUAACGUUUUGGGCAGUGAAGCAAGGCGAGUCUCCAGAGGGGGCGAUGGACAGCAAGAAAGGAUGUUCCCAUCAUCACUAUCUACCGGGGUGCCCACAGAUCUCAGGCAUCAUGGCAGUUCCAGAUAGGCAGGACCUCAGCUGGAUGAACAGGAGAACACAUUAGUACAACCCAGGAGAGGACCAACCUGGGAAAAUCCUCCUUCCCUCAAGCUCUUCUCCAAGGACAGCAGAAGCUGAGAAGCACGUAGCAAGCUUGGUCAGCGUGUGAAGUUCCUUCAGCUGAGAUGUUUUCUUUACUUUUCCUCAAGCCCCAGAGGAGAGGACCGGAGGCCUCGCAGACUCAACAAGGGAGGAGCUAGGGACCCAGGAUCACCUGGGCCCAGGUUGGCCUUCCUCAUUGAGUCAGGAACCUGGGAGGAGCCGCAGACCUACGCUUGGAGGUCUGGGAAGUUCUAAGCGGAGAGUCCUGCCCGUGGAAGAAGAAGACUUCAGAUCUGGUCCUGCUUGACCUUGGAAGGGUCACUUCCGCCAUCUGAGCUUUCAUUUUCUCCUUUGAACAGCAGAGAUCAAAUAGCCUUCCAGGCUUCCUCCCUGAUUCAAAGAAGUAACUGCAGACAGGGAGGGACCAGCGCGUGCACACAUGCUUGUGGGUGUGCUGGUGUGAAGGUGAGUGUGUACAUGCGUUGGGGAGGGAAGUGUGUGCAGAUUGGCCCAGGCAAUGCCAGUCCUGCCACGGCCUUCAGGAGAGCAGCACUUUGUACAAGGGUCAGAAGUUUCCUCAGAACUCAGAGGGGUGGGCCCGAGCCCCCGCCCCAUCUCCCAGUUUGAUGUGAGGGAGACAGUGUAAGAGGAUUGCCUUGGCCCGUCCAUUUGACUUUCAUAACGAGCAUCCUGGUGUAGGGAUAUGAUUCUUUCUCUUUCUUCGAAAAUCUUAAUAUAUUCUGCUUUAAAAUUGUUUUGAAGUAAUAAAGGGA